AUCCGGGUUGCGGACAGUGUCUGGUGGGUAGUUUGACUGGGGCGGUCUCCUCCUAAAGAGUAACGGAGGAGCACGAAGGUUGGCUAAUCCUGGUCGGACAUCAGGAGGUUAGUGCAAUGGCAUAAGCCAGCUUGACUGCGAGCGUGACGGCGCGAGCAGGUGCGAAAGCAGGUCAUAGUGAUCCGGUGGUUCUGAAUGGAAGGGCCAUCGCUCAACGGAUAAAAGGUACUCCGGGGAUAACAGGCUGAUACCGCCCAAGAGUUCAUAUCGACGGCGGUGUUUGGCACCUCGAUGUCGGCUCAUCACAUCCUGGGGCUGAAGUAGGUCCCAAGGGUAUGGCUGUUCGCCAUUUAAAGUGGUACGCGAGCUGGGUUUAGAACGUCGUGAGACAGUUCGGUCCCUAUCUGCCGUGGGCGCUGGAGAACUGAGGGGGGCUGCUCCUAGUACGAGAGGACCGGAGUGGACGCAUCACUGGUGUUCGGGUUGUCAUGCCAAUGGCACUGCCCGGUAGCUAAAUGCGGAAGAGAUAAGUGCUGAAAGCAUCUAAGCACGAAACUUGCCCCGAGAUGAGUUCUCCCUGAGACUUUAGGUCUCCUGAAGGAACGUUGAAGACGACGACGUUGAUAGGCCGGGUGUGUAAGCGCAGCGAUGCGUUGAGCUAACCGGUACUAAUGAACCGUGAGGCUUAACCUUACA
rnacentral:rRNA from 1 species